rnacentral:rRNA from 1 species
CAGAGGGGGCAAGCGUUGUUCGGAAUUACUGGGCGUAAAGGGCGCGUAGGCGGCCUGUUAAGUCGAACGUGAAAUCCCCGGGCUCAACCCGGGAACUGCGUCCGAAACUGGCAGGCUCGAAUCCGGGAGAGGGAUGCGGAAUUCCAGGUGUAGCGGUGAAAUGCGUAGAUAUCUGGAGGAACAUCGGUGGCGAAGGCGGCAUCCUGGACCGGUAUUGACGCUGAGGCGCGAAAGCCAGGGGAGCAAACGGGAUUAGAUACCCCGGUAGUCCUGGCCCUAAACGAUGAAUGCUUGGUGUGGCGGGUAUCGAUCCCUGCCGUGCCGAAGCUAACGCAUUAAGCAUUCCGCCUGGGGAGUACGGUCGCAAGGCUG